GGGGGGGGGGGGGGGGGGGGUGGGGGGGGGGGGGUGGGGGGGGGGGGGCCUUGGUUUGUGUGGGGGUCGAGUGGGUGACGGUGGAGUGGAACGUGAGUGAGCUUCACGUGCGUUUGUGGUAGCUUCAGGCAACUUGGGCUAAUACCGGGUAGAAGCUCCUGCUGCAUGGUUGGUGUUUGAAAGUUUCUGCGGUUUGGUAGGGAGUCGGGGCUUAUCAUCUUGUGGGGGGGGUAGUUGCUUACCAAGGCUUUGACGGUGAGCCGGACUGAGCGGGUGAGCGGCCACAUGGGGACGGAGAUACGCCCCAGACUCCUACGGGAGUCAGCAGUGGGGAAUAGUGCACAAUGGGCGGAAGCCUGAUGAAGCAACGCCGCGUGCGGGAGAACGGCCUUCGGGUUGUAAACCGCUUUCGCCUGUGACGAAGCUUGAGUGACGGUAAUGGGUAAAGAAGCACCGGCUAGCUACGUG
rnacentral:rRNA from 1 species